rnacentral:rRNA from 1 species
GUCCACGCCCUAAACGAUGUCAACUGGUUGUUGGAAGAGUGAUCUUUCAGUAACGAAGCUAACGCGAGAAGUUGACCGCCUGGGGAGUACGGCCGCAAGGUUAAAACUCAAAGAAAUUGACGGGGACCCGCACAAGCGGUGGAUGAUGUGGAUUAAUUCGAUGCAACGCGAAAACCUUACCUACCCUUGACAUGGUCGGAAUCCUGAAGAGAUUUGGGAGUGCUCGAAAGAGAGCCGAUACACAGGUGCUGCAUGGCUGUCGU